rnacentral:rRNA from 1 species
UACAGAGGGUGCAAGCGUUAAUCGGAAUUACUGGGCGUAAAGGGCGCGUAGGCGGAUAAUUAAGUUAGAUGUGAAAUCCCUGGGCUUAACCUGGGAACUGCAUUUAAUACUGGUUAUCUAGAGUAGAGUAGAGGGAAGUGGAAUUUCCGGUGUAGCGGUGAAAUGCGUAGAUAUCGGAAAGAACAUCAGUGGCGAAAGCAGGUUGCUGGCGCAAUACUGACGGUGAGCUGCGAAAGCUAGGGGAGCAAACAGG